rnacentral:rRNA from 1 species
GACGAACGCUGGCGGCGUGCUUAACACAUGCAAGUCGAACGGAAAGGCCCUGCUCUUGUGGGUUGCUCGAGUGGCGAACGGGUGAGUAACACGUGUGUAACACGCCCUUGACUUUGGGAUAACUCCAGGAAACUGGGGAUAAUACAGGAUAGGAGCUCCUGCAGCAUGGUGGGGGUUGGAGAGAUUCGGCGGUUGGGGAUGGUAUGGAGGGUUAUCAGCUUGUUGGGGGGGUAGUGGCUUACCAAGGGUUUGAAGGGUAGCCGGCCUGGGAGGUGGGACGGCCACAUGGGGACUGCGAUACGGCCCAGACGCCUACGGGAGGCAGUGGUGGAGAGUUUUACAGAAUGGGGGGAAGCCUGAUGUAGCAAUGCCGCGUGCGUAAUGACGUCCUUCGAGUUGUAAACCGCUUUCUCCUGUGACGAAGCGUGAGUGACGGUAAUGGGUAAAGAAGCACCGGCUAACUACGUG